rnacentral:piRNA from 1 species
UAAUGUAUGUGCUCCCUCUAGUGGUCAAA